AUGCAUCACCCUGGCAGCACAGACACUAAAAUUGGAAUGAUACAGAGAAGAUUAAUGGCCCCUGUGCAAACUGAUGACAUGCAAAUUCGUGAAGUGUGCCAUAUUUUU